AUGAACGCUGGCGGCGUGCCUAAUGCAUGCAAGUCGAGCGAACAGACGAGGAGCUUGCUCCUCUGACGUUAGCGGCGGACGGGUGAGUAACACGUGGAUAACCUACCUAUAAGACUGGGAUAACUUCGGGAAACCGGAGCUAAUACCGGAUAAUAUAUUGAACCGCAUGGUUCAAUAGUGAAAGACGGUUUUGCUGUCACUUAUAGAUGGAUCCGCGCCGCAUUAGCUAGUUGGUAAGGUAACGGCUUACCAAGGCAACGAUGCGUAGCCGACCUGAGAGGGUGAUCGGCCACACUGGAACUGAGACACGGUCCAGACCCCUACGGGAGGCAGCAGUAGGGAAUCUUCCGCAAUGGGCGAAAGCCUGACGGAGCAACGCCGCGUGAGUGAUGAAGGUCUUUGGAUCGUAAAACUCUGUUAUUAGGGAAGAACAAAUGUGUAAGUAACUAUGCACGUCUUGACGGUACCUAAUCAGAAAGCCACGGCUAACUACGUG
rnacentral:rRNA from 1 species